rnacentral:lncRNA from 1 species
AUGCCCCCUCGGGCGGCCCGCGUUCCCACCCGCGCGCCCCGGCCUCCUUGCCGGUGCCCGGAGGAGUCUGCAGCUCCCGGCCGGGGAUGUUCGGCGGGCGAGCGGAGGCAGAAGGUAGGGCUGUGCGUGAAACGGGACUGUCGGAGCUAUUUCGCCAUGUUUGUGUUGCUAAGAGCCCUUUUUUUCCCCCCUUUGCGGUGGCUUGAUGCCACAUGGCUCCUCCGGAGCUGCUGCCGGGUAGACAGCGGGUGGUGUUUUUUUUUUUUUUUUUUCAAUGUCCGCAUUCCAGCUAAUGUUGCGCAGAUAAAAUUCAAACUUGAGGUAAACAGAGGAGGAGGAGGAGGACGAGGAGGAGGGGAGGGAGCGGCGGGGGGGGGCUGUUUCCAUUUCGAGAUCCCACCUCUUCACUCCGCGGAGACCGACAUCCCGAACCUAGAGACAACUCUCGCCUUUUUCCCACGUCGCCCACCUUUGCUGUCAACAGGAAACCAGGGCAGGGGGCGCACUUCUGGGAAAGGACGCGGGGUCGGGGCGCUCACGGAAGGCAGCCCCUCAGAACCCAGACGUCAGACUCCGGAGGGACGCUGGAUGCCCGGGAGUUACUUUUUGGGGUUAGAAGAAUUGGGAUGUUUUGCCAUUUGGGCGUUUCUCUGCCUCACAGAACAAUCUCAGAGCUACCUGUUUUAGGGAAAUGAUUACAAUAACCUGGAAGCUGAGUAAGUAGAUGUUUUAGUACUUUAAAAAAGUAAUGUGUUGGAACUUUAGUUUUAAAAUAUUAUGUACUUUAAUUGGGUUCUUUAGAUUUUGUUAAUAAUAGUGACAAUUAUUAUGAUAAUUCUAAUAACUAUUUGUAAAU